rnacentral:sRNA from 1 species
GCCAGGCAUGGUGGCGCACACCUGUAAUCCCAGCGUCUUGGGAGACUGAGUCAGGAGGAUCAUGAGUUCAAAGCCAGUCUCAGCAAUGGAGAGGUGCUUAGCAAUUCAGUGAGAUUCUGUCUCUA